UAGUCUUGUUCCCAAGGAAGAAAUACUUCUAAUAGGGGACAUAGCAAUGGUUUCAUUAAACAGGGAGUUAACAUUGCCAAAUUGGCCACCUGCCUUCCUCAUGCCAGUGAAUCAAGAGGUUUACUUUAUGGAGUUUCACUCUUGUUGCCCUGGCUGGAGUGUAACAGCGUGAUCUCGGCUCACUGCAACCUCCGCCUCUCAGGUUCAAGCGAUUCUCCUGCCUCAGCCUCUCGAGUAGCUGGGAUUACAGCACGUGUCUGACACAUAGCAGGCAUUCAAGAAAUACAUGUGAUGGAAGACAUGAAUACCUAUGAAGAAAAUUACGCUAUGUUAUUGAUGAAAGCUAAUACAAAUAUGCUGCUAAGAACGGAUUCAGGGGUAUCCGUUAGUAGGUAGAAUUGGAAUUAUACCCUGAGACAACCUAUGCAUAAUAAUUUAAAAAUGACUCAACAAUAACUUUAUAUUCAGAAAUGUGCUAUGACUUUUAAAAUAUCUCCCCAAUAAGCAACUGAUUCUGAAUCAGUAGAAAUUAUAAAACAUAUACACUAAUAAAACAACAGAACAUUUCGUUAUUCUUUAUUGGAAAAUGUAUAAACACAAUCAAGGGUAGAGAGUACAAUAAACCCUAUACACCCAUCAUUGACAUCAAUAAUCAAUGCUAUGGCAUACUCAUUUUGUCUAUCUACCCACUUUCCCUGGUGAAGUUUUUUAAAACAAAUUCCCAAAAUAGUCAUUUAAUUUCUAAAUAUUUCAGUAUAUUUCUUUGAAAUAUCAAUAGGAAUAUUUUCUUACACAACCACAUUGACAUUAUCUCACUUAAGAAAAUUGAACAUCCAGGCAAUAUACAAUACCUACUCCAUAUUCAGAUUUCCUCUCUUAUCUAAAUUUAUUUUUACAGUUGGUUUAUUCAACUCAGGAUCCAAAUAAAGUCCACUCAUUGUACUUGGUUAUUAUGGAAAUAGUAAUGUGUUUAAAAAAGUAUAUCUGUUCAAUAACAGAUCUCAUAACUUAUGUCUCUAUACCAGAUAGCUAAGAAUAUAUAGAUAUUUUCACUUCAUUUUAGUAAUCACAAGCAUGACAAAGUAAAGACAACUACAAAUUUUUUGAAAUGCCUCCAGUUAAGAAGUGGAAGCAGUGUCCUCUCUUCUUGAAUACGCUUUGGAAAACUGAAUAUGGUAGAAAUGAUAGUGUGCCAAUUUGGGGGCUCAGGACUUAAGAAACCAGAAGCUUCCAGCUUUGUUUCUUAGAAGAUUCUCUUUGCAAACUCUAAGUUACCAUGCAAGAAAUCUGAGUAUGCUGAAAGCACAAUUAUGGAGAGGCCACAGAUAGGUGCUCUAGUUAAGAGUCCCAGCAAUACCCAGUGCUGCAGUCAUCCCAAUCAAGACAUCAGAUAUGCGAGUGAAGCUGUCUUGGGCCCUCCAAACAAGCCCAUAUGCCAGGUGAAUAGCACCUGGUGGUCUUAGUCAACACCAUAGGUAUCAGAAGAAUUGCCCAACUGAGUCACUAUAUUCUUGACUUCCAGACUGUGAGGUAUUAUACAUGCUUGUUGUUUUAAGAUGCAAAGUUUUGGGGUCAUUUGUUAAGUAGCAAUAGCUACCAAGAAAUAGCUACCUAACAGAAAAUAUGCUUUUCUUAGAACUGCCUUGAAACUUCUGACUGUUCUUUAGUAACAGUAGGUUAUCAUUCCCCUACGCUCAAACUAAACAUGUUUAAUGGAACCCACUGAUAUAACCCAAGAAUGUAAUCAUUUAGCCCUGCCAUUUUUUUUACAUCUGGAACAAUCUCUCCCAAAUCCUUAGUGUGGGGGGAGUGCAUUGAUAACUAGUUUAGUUAAUCACAUCUUUUGCCAGUAAUACUAUAGAUUUUCCUCUCAGCUUCCAAGGUCAAUAGAGCUAUAUUUUAAAUAUGCAUUGGAAGAACGGCACAGAAACGCAUCCAGACAAGGGUCAGAGAAAAAUGGAAGAAAAUAAAUGAAAGCUACAGAGACAUUAAAUGUUUAAUGGUUAGCUUCCAGGCUGCUUCAUGCUACUUUAAGCCCUUAUAUAUGCUUCAAUGUUGUUCCCACUUUUAAAGUUUAACUAAUUUCACCUUGUAAGCUUUUUAAAUGUGUGAGGAAAAAAUAAAUUAUUCUAAAAUAAUGCUUUCAAAUGUUUUAAAUAUUUUUUCCAUGAAGAGCUAGUACCAAGGGGUUAAACUAGAGAUUUUUUAGGACAUUUCAUCCAGAAAGUGAGAUUUCAAAUCAAAGAGAUUCUUCACAAUGUCUAUGUCUGUGUAUUGUAUUCCACUGAGAAAACACUCUGUUGCUCUUAAGCAUCCUCUGAUGCUCUUCCAAACAGCAUUUUCAGUUUAGUAUCUCUGGAAAUAUGAGCAAAUGUCAAAAUUUCCUUCCAAUUAUCUCUUAUUAGUUUAAUUUUUUGAACCAAAAAAAAAAAUAAAGUGUUUCCUUGAACAACUGUGGUCAAUUUCUUUCUUGUUGGCACAAAAGAACAUCACAUGUAAUAUUUCUGUGAAAUAACUUCUUUGAGUCACAAAUAUAGUAUAUCGUGAGUCUUUUUCUUAUAGUACUUAUUCAUAAGAAACUUUUUUUUUUCUUUUUCAGGUACUCUUUUCUAAAUUUCCAACAUCUUUUUCCCCUUUCCUUUAUUUAUUUGCGUUUUAAACAACUUCAUUUAUAAAUCUGGUGACCAAGCACAGGGACUGCAGCCAAAGCACAUUGUAUCUGGUUCUCUUUCAAAAAGACAAGAACAUAUUUCUUUUUAGAGUGAUCAAAGGGACAGGGCAGUUGGCAAAUUUCAAAGCAUGAUUAUGGGUUAAACAUUGUCCUGUUCCCUCAAUGGCCAACUGUUGAAAUAAUUCAUUGGCUAAGAAAGUCUCAGUUACUUUUUCUGGAUAAGGUUUGGGUUUUAAUUAUAUCUGGGCAGUUAGAAAAUGCAAUUCUUUCCUAUGGCUCACAAAUAAUAAAUUUCAAAUCUAUAUGUCAAUGGCAGAAUGAAAACAUUGAAACAUUUUCCAGGAACCAAAUAGCUGGCAUCUUGCUGAUGUAUCCUUAGUUAGAAACCACAGCUGAAAGCUCUGUGGUGACUCCUAACCAACAAGUGCUAACAGGUUUUUUCUCCAAAUGUCCCCCAUGAAAGACAGAUAUAGGGCACUCCGUCACUGUAAAUCCCUGCUUGCCUUCUAACAAAA
rnacentral:lncRNA from 10 species